rnacentral:rRNA from 1 species
UACGUAGGGUCCGAGCGUUGUCCGGAAUUAUUGGGCGUAAAGGGCUCGUAGGCGGUUUGUCGCGUCGGGAGUGAAAACUCAGGGCUCAACCCUGAGCGUGCUUCCGAUACGGGCAGACUAGAGGUAUGCAGGGGAGAACGGAAUUCCCGGUGUAGCGGUGAAAUGCGCAGAUAUCGGGAGGAACACCGGUGGCGAAGGCGGGUCUCUGGGCCGACACUGACGCUGAGGAGCGAAAGCGUGGGGAGCGAACAGG